UUAACUGGAGGAAGGUGGGGAUGACGUCAAGUCAUCAUGGCCCUUACGAGUAGGGCUACACACGUGCUACAAUGGCAGAUACAAAGAGAAGCGACCUCGCGAGAGCAAGCGGACCUCAUAAAGUAUGUCGUAGUCCGGAUUGGAGUCUGCAACUCGACUCCAUGAAGUCGGAAUCGCUAGUAAUCGUAGAUCAGAAUGCUACGGUGAAUACGUUCCCGGGCCUUGUACACACCGCCCGUCACCCCAUGGGAGUGGGUUGCAAAAGAAGUAGGUAGCUUAACCUUCGGGAGGGCGCUUACCACGGUGUGACUCAUGACUGGGGUGAAGACCUGACGAAUGGGC
rnacentral:rRNA from 1 species